rnacentral:rRNA from 2 species
UGGGGAAUAUUGCACAAUGGGGGAAACCCUGAUGCAGCGACGCCGCGUGAACGAAGAAGGUAUUCGUAUCGUAAAGUUCUGUCCUAUGGGAAGAUAAUGACAGUACCAUAGAAGAAAGCUCCGGCUAAAUACGUGCCAGCAGCCGCGGUAAUACGUAUGGAGCGAGCGUUGUCCGGAAUUAUUUGGCGUAAAGGGUACGCAGGCGGUUUAAUAAGUCGAAUGUUAAAGAUCGGGGCUCAACCCCGUAAAGCAUUGGAAACUGAUAAACUUGAGUAGUGGAGAGGAAAGUGGAAUUCCUAGUGUAGUGGUGAAAUACGUAGAUAUUAGGAGGAAUACCAGUAGCGAAGGCGACUUUCUGGACACAAACUGACGCUGAGGUACGAAAGCGUGGGGAGCAAACAGG